GAUGAACGCUGGCGGCGUGCCUAAUACAUGCAAGUCGAGCGAACGGACGAGAAGCUUGCUUCUCUGAUGUUAGCGGCGGACGGGUGAGUAACACGUGGAUAACCUACCUAUAAGACUGGGAUAACUUCGGGAAACCGGAGCUAAUACCGGAUGAUCUUUUGAACCGCAUGGUUCAAAAGUGAAAGACGGUCUUGCUGUCACUUAUAGAUGGAUCCGCGCUGCAUUAGCUAGUUGGUAAGGUAACGGCUUACCAAGGCAACGAUGCAUAGCCGACCUGAGAGGGUGAUCGGCCACACUGGAACUGAGACACGGUCCAGACUCCUACGGGAGGCAGCAGUAGGGUAUCUUCCGCAAUGGGCGAAAGCCUGACGGAGCAACGCCGCGUGAGUUAUGAAGGUCUUCGGAUCGGAAAACUCUGUUAUUAGGGAAGAACAUAUGUGUAAGUAACUGUGCACAUCUUGACGGUACCUAAUCAGAAAGCCACGGCUAACUACGUG
rnacentral:rRNA from 1 species